rnacentral:rRNA from 1 species
UACGUAGGGGCCUAGCGUUGUCCGGAUUUAUUGGGCGUAAAGAGCUCGUAGGCGGUUUGGUAAGUCGGGUGUGAAAUCUCCACGCUCAACGUGGAGGGGCCACCCGAUACUGCCAUGACUCGAGUCCGGUAGGGGAGUGUGGGAAGUUCCCGGUGUAGCGGUGAAAUGCGCAGAUAGUCGGGAGGAACACCAGUGGCGAAAG